AUUGAACGCUGGCGGCAGGCCUAACACAUGCAAGUCGAGCGAGCGGCGGACGGGUGAGUAAUGUCUGGGAACCUGCCUGAGGGAGGGGGAUAACUACUGGAAACGGUAGCUAAUACCGCAUACCAUCAGAUGUGCCCAGAUGGGAUGAGCUAGUAGGUGGGGUAACGGCUCACCUAGGCGACGAUCCCUAGCUGGUCUGAGAGGAUGACAAGCCAGACGGGACAUGGGACACGGGCCAGACUCCGACGGGAGGCGGCAGUUGGGAAUAUUGCACGAUGGGCGAAAGCCUGAUGCAGCCAUGCCGCGUGUGUGAAGAGGGCCUUCGGGUUGUAAAGCACGUUCAGCGGUGAGGCGUUACCCGCAGAAGAAGCACCGGCUAACUCCGGGCCAGCAGCCGCGGUAAUAC
rnacentral:rRNA from 1 species